rnacentral:rRNA from 1 species
AUUGAACGCUGGCGGCAGGCCUAACACAUGCAAGUCGAACGAGUGGCGGACGGGUGAGUAAUGUCUGGGAAACUGCCCGAUGGAGGGGGAUAACUACUGGAAACGGUAGCUAAUACCGCAUACAACCGGAGGGACCAAGAGGGGAUUAGCUGGUGGGGGGGGGAACGGCUCACCUAGGCGACGAUCCCUAGCUGGUCGGAGAGGAUGACCAGCCACACUGGAACGGAGACACGGUCCAGACUCCUACGGGAGGCAGCAGUGGGGAAUAUUGCACAAGGGGCGCAAGCCUGAUGCAGCCAUGCCGCGUGUAUGAAGAAGGCCUUCGGGUUGUAAAGUACUUUCAGCGAGGAGGCGUUACUCGCAGAAGAAGCACCGGCUAACUCCGUGCCAGCAGCCGCGGUAAUAC